UCAAGUUAGAGCUUUAGAAAGCAUUUUAUUUACAUUAAAAAGUUAAUUGGUAGAACAGUUUAAUUUG
rnacentral:tRNA from 1 species